rnacentral:rRNA from 1 species
GACGAACGCUGGCGGCGUGCCUAACACAUGCAAGUCGAACGGAGAUUUCAGCAAUGGAAUCUUAGUGGCGAACGGGUGAGUAACGCGUAGACAACCUACCUUCUAGAUGGGGACAACACUGCGAAAGUGGUGCUAAUACCGAAUGUUGUAUGUGAAACGCCUGUUUCACAUACUAAAGGUGGCCUCUAUUUAUAAGCUACCACUAGAAGAUGGGUCUGCGUCUGAGUAGCUAGUUGGUGAGGUAAUGGCUCACCAAGGCGACGAUCAGUAGCCGGUCUGAGAGGAUGAACGGCCACACUGGGACUGAGACACGGCCCAGACUCCUACGGGAGGCAGCAGUGGGGAAUCUUCCGCAAUGGACGAAAGUCUGACGGAGCAACGCCGCGUGAGUGAAGAAGGUUUUCGGAUCGUAAAACUCUGUUUUCAGGGACGAAUGUGCAAUAUGUGAAUAAUGUGUUGUAAUGACGGUACCUGACAAGAAAGCCACGGCCAACUACGUGCCAGCCGCCGCAGUAA